AUUGAACGCUGGCGGCAGGCCUAACACAUGCAAGUCGAACGGUAACAGGAAGCAUCUUGCUGCUUCGCUGGCGAGUGGCGGACGGGUGAGUAAUGUCUGGGAAACUGCCUGAUGGAGGGGGAUAACUACUGGAAACGGUAGCUAAUACCGCAUAACGUCGCAAGACCAAAGAGGGGGACCUUAGGGCCUCUUGCCAUCGGAUGUGCCCAGAUGGGAUUAGCUAGUAGGUGGGGUAACGGCUCACCUAGGCGACGAUCCCUAGCUGGUCUGAGAGGAUGACCAGCCACACUGGAACUGAGACACGGUCCAGACUCCUACGGGAGGCAGCAGUGGGGAAUAUUGCACAAUGGGCGCAAGCCUGAUGCAGCCAUGCCGCGUGUAUGAAGAAGGCCUUCGGGUUGUAAAGUACUUUCAGCGGGGAGGAAGGGAGUAAAGUUAAUACCUUUGCUCAUUGACGUUACCCGCAGAAGAAGCACCGGCUAACUCCGUG
rnacentral:rRNA from 1 species